ACUAAGGUUCGACUCGAGCGAAGCGAGAGAACGUUGCCGCUGGCAAUGGCCCGAAGGCGAGGCGCUUUAGCGCCGAGUAAUCCUUCCCCCACCACCA
rnacentral:sRNA from 1 species